rnacentral:rRNA from 1 species
AGAACGAACGUUGGCGGCGUGGAUUAGGCAUGCAAGUCGAGGGAAUCCCAGCAAUGGGGGAACCGGCGUAAGGGGCAGUAAGGCAUGGGUACCUACCCCGGGGCCCGGGAUAGCCGUCCGAGAGGGCGGGUAAUACCGGAUGACCUCGUGAGAGCAAAGGUCCGCCGCCCUGGGCGGGGCCCAUGUGAUAUUAGCUAGUUGGUGAGGUAACGGCUCACCAAGGCGAAGAUGUCUAGCGGGUGUGAGAGCACGACCCGCGCCACUGGCACUGAGACACUGGCCAGACACCUACGGGUGGCUGCAGUCGAGGAUCUUCGGCAAUGGGGGCAACCCUGACCGAGCGACGCCGCGUGGGCGAUGAAGGCCUUCGGGUUGUAAAGCCUGUCGAGGGGAGAAAGCCGAAAGGUUUGAUCUAUCCCUGGAGGAAGCACGGGCUAAGUUCGUGCCAGCAGCCGC